rnacentral:rRNA from 1 species
AUUGAACGCUGGCGGCAGGCCUAACACAUGCAAGUCGAGCGGAUGAGGAAAGCUUGCUUUUCGAUUCAGCGGCGGACGGGUGAGUAAUGCCUAGGAAUCUGCCUGUUAGUGGGGGAUAACUCGGGGGAAACUCGGGCUAAUACCGCAUACGUCCUACGGGAGAACGUGGGGGAUCUUCGGACCUCACGCUAACAGAUGAGCCUAGGUCGGGAUUAGCUAGUAGGUGAGGUAAUGGCUAACCUAGGCGACGAUCCGUAACUGGUCUGAGAGGAUGAUCAGUCACGCGGGAACUGAGACACGGUCCAGAAUCCUACGGGAGGCCGCAGUGGGGAAUAUUGGACAAUGGGCGAAGGCCUGAUCCAGCCAUGCCGCGUGUGUGAAGAAGGUCUUCGGAUUGUAAAGCACUUUAAGUUGGGAGGAAGGGUAUUCACCUAACACGUGGGUACUUUGACGUUACCAACAGAAUAAGCACCGGCUAACUCCGUGCCAGCAGCCGCCGUAACAC